rnacentral:rRNA from 1 species
UGCCAGACUCCUACGGGAGGCAGCAGUGGGGAAUAUUGCACAAUGGGGGAAACCCUGAUGCAGCAACGCCGUGUGAGUGAAGAAGCGUUUCGGCGCGUAAAGCUUUGUCAGCGGGGAAGAAAGAAGACGGUACCCGACCAAGAAGCCCCGACUAACUACGUGCCAGCAGCCGCGGUAAUACGUAGGGGGCGAGCGUUAUCCGGAUUCACUGGGUGUAAAGGGAGCGUAGACGGCCAAGCAAGCCAGGGGUGAAAGCCCGGGGCCCAACCCCGGGACUGCCCUUGGAACUGCAUGGCUGGAGUGCGGGAGGGGCAGGCGGAAUUCCUGGUGUAGCGGUGAAAUGCGUAGAUAUCAGGAGGAACACCGGCGGCGAAGGCGGCCUGCUGGACCGCGACUGACGUUGAGGCUCGAAAGCGUGGGGAGCGAACAGGAUUAGAUACCCCGGUA